UUACUCCAGUUGUGGACAGGAACAAUAUUUAAAAGUUUAUUCGCACACAUAAUUCGCACUUAAGUAAAAUCUCGUCGGUGUCCGUGUAAGAGGAUUUCAUGUGAGAGCGAACAAUCAUCGAAUUCUCUUUAAACAAAGGCAAGGCCGAUUUUUUUUUCAGUUCUGGCAUCAUUGUGGAGUAUAAAUGCCAAUGCGAGGAAAAUAUCAAUAACUAUCGAUAACGCGGAAAGCUUAAGCGCUCUAUGGAUAGCCGGCAGCUAUCGAUACUAUCGAUAAUUAUCGAUAGGUUUCCCAUCCCUAACAUCGAUAUGAUAUGAGUAACCCUGUUGAGCUUAUACAGUCGACACUGUCAAAGCAUUUUCUUGAUUUUCCUCAAAUUGGGAGCAGGACGGAGGUUACUGUUAAAACAACAAUAAUUAACACAUGUUUUGUGUUUGUAACGUUCAACAGAUUUUAAGUUUAGCAUCGCUAUAAAGUAGUUUCGGCCAGCUUAUAAAACUUAAAGCCUAGUCACAUGCUAUUUUUUAAAUUUUGGCGGUAUCGCAUAUCUCUGAAAUCUAAUUUACAGUUGUACACUUAUCGCUUACGUCACUUCUUUCGUAAUAUGGAAUGUACAGAUCUUCACCCUCCUACCGUUGUCAGAGGAAUGACCAUCCUCGAAAGAAAUUCUUUCAAAAAAUGUGCCAAAGUACCACACUUGACGGUUCCCGAAAACGAAGAUUUCAACAAAGUUUGCAAAAGCGUUAAAAAAUUUUUGUUAAAGAUGGAACAAUUUAAGCCAGUUAAAUCAGCCGAACGUAAAAUUGUGCUGCACCCACUGAUCAUGGAAAGCUGGGACGACUUUGAAAAAAAUGCACUAUUUGGAAAUCUAUUCAAAAACAACUUGACGUGGGAAAACAUUCAACUUGAGUAUGACAACUGGAAAUAUGACGAAGUACUGAGAGCAGUACUCCCAGAAGAUAAAGAUAUUUUAUCGUCAUUUUCGAAAGUUGGUCAUGUAGUACACUUGAAUUUGAAAGAUCAUUUGCUCGAGUAUAAGAAUCUCAUAGGAGAAGUCAUCAAAGACAAAGUACCUGGUUGCAGGACAGUCGUGAAUAAACUUGUCACAAUCGAUAAUACUUAUCGAAACUUUGAAAUGGAAGUGAUAGCUGGCGAGAAAGAUUUUGAAGUUACAGUUAAAGAGAAUGGAAAUACUUUUGAGUUCGAUUUUUCUAAGGUCUAUUGGAAUCCCAGGCUAUCUACUGAACAUGAAAAAAUAGUGAAAAUGCUCAAUCAAAGUGAUGUACUAGCGGAUGUGUACGCCGGAGUAGGACCAUUUAGUGUACCUGCUGCGAAGAAGGGGUGUACUGUUUUAGCGAAUGACUUGAACCCUGAUUCAUACAAAGCUUUAGUAAAAAACUGUAUUAAAAACAAAGUUCAAGCACACGCCACAUGCUUUAAUAAAGAUGCUAUUAAUUUUAUUCGAGAAGAACUUCGUCAACUAAUACUAGAGAAAAAUAAAGAUACCCAGUUCAGCGGAAAAAUUCACAUUACUAUGAAUCUACCAGCACUUGCAAUCGAACAUUUAGUUCAUUAUGUCGGUUUAUUCCAAGCAGAAACUCUAAAACUUGUUUCGCAUCCAAUAGUUCACUGUUAUUGCUUUGCCAAAGGAACAGAGGACAGUAAAACAAUUGCCCGUCAUAUGGUAGAAAGCAGCUUAGGUUUCAAAUUAGGCGACAAUUUACUAGAGAUUGCUUUUGUUAGAAAUGUAUCCCCAAACAAAGAUAUGAUGAGAGUCAGUUUCUGUUUGACGGAGGAAGUACUAUUUUGUGCAUCUUCAGGUGUAAAACGUUCAUUAGAAGGAAACAAAGAUAACCCCGAACAAACAUUGAAACGAAAUUGUAGCAAAUCGCAAAAAGACUAUGGGCAAGAAGAACAUAAAAAAUCGCAACCAGCAAAAGCAGAUUGCGAAGAAAGCUAAAAACGUAUUUGCAGUUUCACAAGCAAAGAAAAACAACGUGAAAAAGGCAAAAGAAGUCUCUGGUAAACUAAAAAAGAUUAAUGUUUAUGAAAAGCGAGAAAAAGCCGAUAAAAAUUUUCAGAACCUACACGCGCAGAUAGUUACAACGAAGAAGACUAAAAAAAUUCCAUCGAAGACGGUUGUUAAAAAGGACAAAGUACAGGCAAACACAAAGCAAGUGGAAGCUGAAUUGAAUAAGAUGCAAAUGUAGCAUACAAUAUAUAUUCAAUAAAUCUUCCCAUAUACGUUGGA